AUUGAACGCUGGCGGCAUGCCUUACACAUGCAAGUCGAACGGUAACAGGUCUUCGGAUGCUGACGAGUGGCGAACGGGUGAGUAAUACAUCGGAACGUGCCUAGUAGUGGGGGAUAACUACUCGAAAGAGUGGCUGAUACCGCAUGAGAUCUACGGAUGAAAGCAGGGGAUCGCAAGACCUUGUGCUACUAGAGCGGCCGAUGGCAGAUUAGGUAGUUGGUGGGAUAAAAGCUUACCAAGCCGACGAUCUGUAGCUGGUCUGAGAGGACGAUCAGCCACACUGGGACUGAGAAACGGCCCAGACUCCUCCGGGAGGCAGCAGUGGGGAAUUGUGGACAAUGGGCGCAAGCCUGAUCCAGCAAUGCCGCGUGCAGGAUGAAGGCCUUCGGGUUGUAAACUGCUUUUGUACGGAACGAAAAGCCCCGGGUUAAUACCCUGGGGUCAUGACGGUACCGUAAGAAUAAGCACCGGCUAACUACGUGCCAGCAGCCGCCGUAA
rnacentral:rRNA from 1 species